AGUGAACGCUGGCGGUAGGCCUAACACAUGCAAGUCGAACGGCAGCACAGUAAGAGCUUGCUCUUACGGGUGGCGAGUGGCGGACGGGUGAGGAAUACAUCGGAAUCUACUUUUUCGUGGGGGAUAACGUAGGGAAACUUACGCUAAUACCGCAUACGACCUACGGGGGAAAGCAGGGGAUCUUCGGACCUUGCGGGAUUGAAUGAGCCGAUGUCGGAUUAGCUAGUUGGCGGGGUAAAGGCCCACCAAGGCGAGGAUCCGUAGCUGGUCUGAGAGGAUGAUCAGCCACACUGGAACUGAGACACGGUCCAGACUCCUACGGGAGGCAGCAGUGGGGAAUAUUGGACAAUGGGCGCAAGCCUGAUCCAGCCAUACCGCGUGGGUGAAGAAGGCCUUCGGGUUGUAAAGCCCUUUUGUUGGGAAAGAAAAGCAGCAGGUUAAUACCCCGCUGUUCCGACGGUACCCAAAGAAUAAGCACCGGCUAACUUCGUG
rnacentral:rRNA from 1 species